AGAGUUUGAUCCUGGCUCAGAACGAACGCUGGCGGCGUGCUUAACACAUGCAAGUCGAGUGCGCGCCUGUAGCAAUACAGGUGGCGCACGGCGCACGGGUGCGUAACACGUGGGCAAUCUGCCCUCUGAUGGGGAAUAACCCGCCGAAAGGCGGGCUAAUACCGCAUAAAAUUCCUUGGACUUAUGUUCGAGGACUCAAAGGCGUAAGUCGUCGGAGGAGGAGCCCGCGCACGAUUAGCUAGUUGGUAGGGUAAUGGCCUACCAAGGCUUUGAUCGUUAGCUGGUCUGAGAGGAUGGCCAUUCACACUGGAACUGAGACACGGUCCAGACUCCUACGGGAGGCAGCAGUGGGGAAUCUUGCACAAUGGGCGAAAGCCUGAUGCAGCGACGCCGCGUGGGGGAUGAAGCAUUUCGGUGUGUAAACCCCUUUCGAUCCGGACGAAUGCCUCGCAAGAGGAGUGACGGUACGGAUAUAAGAAGCCCCGGCUAACUAUGUGCCAGCAGCCGCGGUAAGACGUAGGGGGCCAGCGUCGUUCGGAAUUACUGGGUGUAAAGGGUUCGUAGGCGGUGUGGCAAGUUGGGUGUGAAAUCUCUGGGCUCAACCCAGAGACUGCUUACAAAACUGUUGUGCUUGAGUGUGAGAGAGGCGUGUGGAAUUGUAGGUGUAGCGGUGAAAUGAGUAGAUAUCUGCAGGAUCACCCGUGGCGAAAGCGGCGAGCUGGAUCGCUACUGACGCUGAGGACCGAAAGCUAGGGGAGCAAACAGGAUUAGAUACCCCCGUAGUCC
rnacentral:rRNA from 1 species